rnacentral:rRNA from 1 species
CGAACGUGGGUAACCUGCCCAUCAGAGGGGGAUAACAUUCGGAAACGGAAUGCUAAAACCGCAUAGGUCUUCGAACCGCAUGGUUUGAAGAGGAAAAGAGGCGCAAGCUUCUGCUGAUGGAUGGACCCGCGGUGCAUUAGCUAGUUGGUGAGGUAACGGCUCACCAAGGCCGUGAUGCAUAGCCGACCUGAGAGGGUGAUCGGCCACAUUGGGACUGAGACACGGCCCAA